AGCAGGAGGCACAGCCCGGGCUCAGGGGCCAAUGCUGAGCUGCACACGGAGCUGGGGCAUGGUUACCCUGCUCAGAGCCUGGGAUCCCUCGGCUGCAGCGCAAGCUCAGGGACACCUGCCCUGACAGGGGUGUUGCAGAGAAUGACAUCCAUACAUGGCCUGGCACACAGUGGUCAGUUGAACGUGCGACAUAGCAACCCUGCAUCUUAGCAAUCUGUCCUCAGGAAUCAUUGACGAGCAAGCAACUCUGUACACUGAGGAUGCCCAUCUCAACACGGAACGUGAUGCAAAAACUUAUUUGGACACAACAGAAGUCUCACGUAACAGUGAUGAUGAACAUCUUGUCCGUGGCCUGACUGGGAGUUCCCUCUGCAACCAUAGGUUAGCUUAGAAGACAAUAUUGCUCUGCUUUGUUUAAUUGUAUAACUCAUCCAAGAUCAUAGAAGAAUUGGAAACUGUAAACAAAGAAAAAUCUGCAUCUCCUGUUGUAACACACCACAGAUAAGCCUCAUGUAUCACCAGUUUGGACGACAUAGUCUUGUCAAGUCUAUGAAAAAGGUGUGGGGCGACCAGGUGGGUUCAGAACGUGGAGGCCAGAGAGGAGUGAGGUGCUGUAGGGCCCCAGGUAGGGGUAACCCCUGCUGGCUUGAUGAAUGGACCCAUCGCCUUUCGACAGGCCUCGCAGACACCAGGCCAGAUAAGCACAUCGCCCGUCCAGGCCAUUUUUCCCCCGCUAUCUCUUGCUGAGGCGAUGCUAACAUACCGCCAGCCCUCUGUGUGAUGGAUGGCCUUGGGAAGCCGGCUCACCCCCACCGAUUACGCCAACCCUCGGAGGGGCUUCCCAGUGCCCGCCUGCUCAUUUUCAAGACUGGUUCCCUUGGGGGUAAAAAAUGAGCACCCCAGGGAUCCUUUCUGGGGCUUCACACACGUUCAUACACAUCUGUGCCCACGUGCACACACAGGUGCAUUUGUGCCUUGACCCAGCCAACGUUUAAAGCUUGGAACUUGGCAAGUCUAGUUCCCAGGAAGUCGCCCAGGAUCACACGGCCAGACAUUUGCCUCUUACUAACACUGUGUUAAGUCUCUAUCGGGAUCCCCUCCUGUUCCAAAGCGGCUGAGACACCGACAAAGCUAUCUGGGAUGAGACCUGCCAACCGCCACCCCCUCGGCUCAUCUUGGUCCGAGUCAAGCACCAGACACCUCAGACCCCACUAUUUCCUGGGAAAUGUAGAGCAAUGGUUUCUCUCCUGCCAAAAUCCUCAAAGGCAGCCAGAAACAGCAGAGUGAUUAGGAAGCCUUACGCUGGACACACUUCCAAGCUGCAAGCUUCCUGUGAAGCAAAACAGAACAGACUUCAUAUGGUGGAGUCAACCAACAUGGGCGCGUCCCAGGGCCCAGCAGGAUAAACAUCGGGCUCUCUGAUCCCGACCUCCCGACAUACCCAUUUGUCCUGGCCGCUCCUCGGACACAUGAAUGCCUGUCUCAAACCCCACCCUUCACCGCCAGCCGUCUCCGGGGAAGUGACAAACACCGGAUAGAGCCAAUGGGCCCCCGGAGUCCGGAUGCCCACCAUCCGGGGCUGUUUAUGUUUGAGCCCAUCUUGGAAGAAAAAUGUGAGAACGCCUGUUCAGAACAUGGUGGCCAAGCCGGGUCCAUCCGGUGCCAGGGAGCCAAACACAAUGGGAAAGGAGGCGCAGACGCGGCGGAAGGAUAGGGCCGGGCAUGGCCCACCGAGGGAGACCGCUGGGCCAGGUUGGGUCCUUCCCUGCACCCUCCUUGUCCCUACGCUGUGAAAAGGCACUUGGGUUCUUCUUCCCUCCACCCGAGACUCUCUGAUCACUCAUACCUCCCUCUUGGCCCACCGAGUCGUGUGAGCCACAUCCUUCACUCUGCCCAUGAAACCACCAAGUUUGAGGCAGCGGAUAGUCAAGACAGACAGGCAAGAGUUUCUUGUGAGAGUUGUCAGGGAAAGCACUUUCUCGUAGCAGAGCCUUAUGUUAUUCCCAGCUGAAAUGCUGUUGCUCUUUCCAAGGAAGGAUAGGUUUCUUCUAGAGGAGAGGCAGAGGUGUGCUCUCCAGACCCCACCGCCAUGCUGGGCGUGCAAAGAGCCCUCCUUCAGGAAGACACCAGCCUUAAGCAACCUGGAGUCUUGAGGCCUGUGGCUUCCUGGGAACCUACAACCGCAUCAGACGUUGAGGCAGAGUUGCUGUUACCAGUUUCACAUCUUAGUAAGAGCCACCGUUUCUGACAUGUCAACAACCCUCCCAAAAAAGCACAAAUCAAUCAAUGUUUAUUAAAAGCUCACCUUGUGCAAAGGGCUGUUGGUUAAAACACAUCAAUGCCUGAGAUACUCAGGGAAAGGCUGGUUGCCUUUGGGAAGCAGGAACACUCAUCUUGGGUUGUCAGAAGACUUGCUUUGGGGAGACCCUCAGUUCCUGUUUCUAGUAAGUUUCUGUCUUUUGAUUCAUGACGUGACUGCAGGCAAGUGCUCGGGGUUUUUCAACUGUAAAAUGGAGCUAACAAUGGUACCCACCUCUCUCGAGGGGUGGUUGUGAAAAUUAAAUGAGAUGAUGUACGUAAAAUUAUGAUAACCGUGCUCUUAA
rnacentral:lncRNA from 1 species